rnacentral:snRNA from 1 species
GAUAGAACGAGACAGAGAAGAUUAGCAUGGCCAAAGAUGGCACGCACAAAUCGAGAAGUGUACCAAGUUUUA